GCCUCCCUUCACUUCCUGGCCAUCCAAAGCAUCUGUGUCUGUGUCCGGGAAGUCGAGGAGGGC
rnacentral:miRNA from 1 species